CGGUAGAAAGUAUGGGUGUAUAUGUAGUUUCGGCCUACAAGGGGGGCUAGUAUAGUUCUCUACCGU
rnacentral:tRNA from 1 species